AAGUCGUAACAAGGUUUCCGUAGGUGAACCUGCGGAAGGAUCAUUAAAAAAUUAAGGUAUUAGUACCUUUUUUGUAUUUAAAACCUUACUCUAUAAAACUUAAAAAUUUUAUAUUAUAAAAUGAAAAACUUUCAACAAUGGAUCUCUUGGUUCUC
rnacentral:misc_RNA from 1 species